UACCCGCAGCACAAGUGGUGGUCAUUAUUAUUGGGCCUAAAGCGUCCGUAGCUGGCGUGUUAGAUGCCUGGGUAAAUCGAUGCGCUUAACGUAUCGAAUUCCGGGUAGACCGGCACGCUCGAGACCGGGAGAGGCGUAGGGUACUCGGGGGGUAGGGGUAAAAUCCUGUAAUCCUCCGGGGACGACCAGUGGCGAAGGCGCUACACUAGAACGGCUCUGACAGUGAGGGACGAAGCCCUGGGGCGCAAACCGG
rnacentral:rRNA from 1 species